UUAAAAACAAAUAAAAUAUACAAUUAAUGAAAGAAAAUAAAAGAAUUGUAAGAAUGGUUAAAUGAAUGAACAAUAUGUAAAUAAAAAAGUUGAUGGAUAAAUAAACGAAUAAAAGUAAAAAAAAUAAUUAAUGAUUAAACAAUUAAAUGGAGAAAUAAAAAAAGUUAAAAAAAUGCUUAAGUCGGCCUAACUCUCGCAAUAUGAAGAUUCAACGAAAUUCUUCCACCAAAAUCCAACUCAAAUGAAAGCAACUUAAAAAGAAAUGAAGAUGAACGAAGAACAAAAUAAGAACAAG
rnacentral:lncRNA from 1 species